UUUUUUUUUUUUUUUAAUUGCCUUUUACUGCAUUAUACACAUGAAUCAUUUUGAAGAGAUAAAAGGGUAAAGGGGAAAAGUCUGAGCUUCCAACUCCACCAGUGUGUUCUGCUGUUCCAACCUGGUGUAAAGAGCACUGUCAAACCUUUUGGGUUAAGCUACCUUGUAAUUUCCUCUCACACUACACUUUUAGUUCUUUUCUAUGUCCGAAGUAUCCAAAAGACUAUUAGUGAAAUAAUUUUUAAUUUAAAACAUUAAACUUCUUUAUAAGAGAGUCUGAAAUUAAUCAGGUAUUGAAUUAGUUGCAGUGUUCACGUCUUAGCUGCAGACACUAGUUCAUCAGAAUAAUACACAUACUGAUUGCAAAUUGCUAUCAAAAAGUAUGAGUUCUCAAAAAAAAAAAAAAAAGAAAAAAAAUCAGUGUCUGCAAUGAAUAACUGUGCUUGGUUUUUCCUGUGCUCUUUAUUGUGAUGACUAGCCCUAGAGAAAACACAGCUGGAUGAAACUAGUCCAAGAAAAAACACAGCUGGAUGAAACCUGUAGGAUAAAAAUUUCCAUAAUGCUGGAAAUGUUUGACAAUUUUCAUUUUCUGUAAAUGCUACCCAAUACAUAUGUACAGAGCAAUGGUCAGUCUUGAAAUCAUAGAGUGACAUGUAAAACUGUAAGAGAAAGACAAGAAUACAGUUUCAGUAGCACCUUGGGUUUGAUACUUACCUUUGCUCUAGAAGUAUUUCCAUUAUUAAGCAGACAGAGCCCCAAUCUUUGGUAUUAAGCUGACUGUUGGGAAUAUGUCCUUAAAGCUCAUGCUUUUGUAUUUUCUUCAAAUCUCUGACCAAAUGACUGAAGGUUUUACAAAAGAUCCCUUCUUUUCAAAAGAGGAAUAUUAAUAUACUUGGAGGAAAUGUUUAAGGAAAUGUAUGUUUAAGAGUAAGCAUAUCCUGAAGCUCAAGAGAUGAAGCAAAUAAGUGCCUGCAUUUUUAAGCAUAUUUAAAAUGUUAAUAUAUAUAUUAACCUAGUCUUUUGAGUUUUGGAAGAGGCACAACAUCAUAAAUCUAACAUGUCAUCAAUCUGAAUAAGCUGUAACAGGAAGGAGCUAAUUUAAUUUAUUUAAUUUCUCUCCAUACAGCUACUUAAGGAUACAAAUAUUAGUGAAUAUUGUGCUUAAUUUGAUUAAAGAGCAGAUAGCAUGGUAAAAACACUGAUUCACUGCAUUGUGAUCACAAAUAUUUGUAUAAAUAUUUUUAAGUCAUAUUGUUUUAUUUUAGAUUAAAAAAUCUAGAAGUUAUAAAAUUAGAGGAAGUAUGACAUCAGUGAUAGUAAAUUACCUUGUGUGAAUCUGUAAGGAAUAAUUAUCAAGAGUAAUUAUUACUACUCAUAAUUACUAGGAGUAAUUACUGACAAGAGAGUAUGGAAUUCUGGAUUUCUGGUGAAAUAAUUACCUGAUUCAAUAACACAUGGAAGUGUGUUAUGUCCUGUGAGUUGAUAUUGUCUCUUUUAAGGGUAACUUUUGUCGAUAUUUGGAGCCUUACUAUUAGAGGUGAUCUCUGCCAAAAUUCAGCCAUAAGGGGAGAGACUUCUGAUGAGGUAGAUUUUCUGAGUCUGCUCAGUUUGUUCUAGAAAAAAGCGACUUCCUAAUUUCAAUGAAAAAUUAGCAUUCCUUUUGUUUUUGCUUUUACCGCUGAAGGUAUUUCUCUCCUUUUGGUAUCUUUGUAUUGUUCUCCGUAGGAAGAAUUUGUGGGUGGAUGAUAAGACCUAGUCCUGGCCAAGGCAAACAGAGACACAUUUAUGCACUGACAACCUGCUCUCCACUUCCAAUCUAUGCUGAGGCAAAGCACAGCCAAGAAUUAAAUCCAUUUUCUUACUUUAUUUUCUUCUAAAUGACCCCAAAUAUCUGAGAGGACUGGUGAUUUUGUGGCUUUUUUCCUCUGCCCUAACCUUCAAACACCGCACUCAGCCUGCAACCUAGUGCCCCAGGCCAGAGGAGAGCAAUGCCAAGCCCUGCUGUGGGAGACUAGUGAUGCCCAGGGCUGCAUGGCAAGAGGAUCUCUGCACUUGCCAGUCAUCCUCAUGACACAUUUUUCCUAAUCCCUGCUGAGGUUUGACUUGUAAUGAAGGCGGAGUUUCUUACCUUCGUAUUAGUUCCCUUGCAAGACUUUAGUGUAAUUGUCCUUCCUCUCAGAAAAUUAGAGAAAAAUAAGGUGACUAAUUGCAACAUUAUACAACAAAGGAAAGUGGAGAUGAUAUACGAUUUUGUAUAAUUUUCAGAAUAUGUGUGUGAUGUUGGGUUUUGUGACCAGUAAGAAUUAUUUUCUUUUGCAAGAGGUAAACUUCUGUUUGAGGCGCACUGGAAAACUGGGAGUUAUGAACUAUUUACUAUUGACAGUAAAUAGUUCAUAAAUAGUACAUAUUUCUGCAAGUAACUUUACGAACGUACAUCAGGCAAACAGAUUUUUCCAUUACUUGAGAAUUGUUUAGGCGUCUUUAAAUAAGUUGAAAGCUAUUUGUUGUGGUAAGGGAGAAUGAAAAACACUUUUACAGGGUAGGUAGCAAAACAUCCCAUUAUAUCUGUUAUGUAAAUACUGCAAAAUCAAAUUAUAGCAAAGAAUAUUAGAGAAGAGGGGGGUGAGUGGAAUAUUAAGAACUUCCUUUUCUCACAAAGCAGGUAAAAUGCUUCAUUAAGGAUUUUCUCGCCCAGUGAAACUCGCCC
rnacentral:lncRNA from 1 species